rnacentral:rRNA from 1 species
CUGGUUGAUCCUGCCAGUAGUCAUAUGCUUGUCUCAAAGACUAAGCCAUGCAUGUCUAAGUAUAAAUGUUAUACAGUGAAACUGCGAAUGGCUCAUUAAAACAGUUAUAGUUUAUUUGAUAAUCGAAUUUACAUGGAUAACCGUGGUAAUUCUAGAGCUAAUACAUGCUGGUUAGCCUGACUUCGAGGAAGGGCUGUAUUUAUUAGAUAACAAACCAAUAUUCUUUAUGUCUAUUGUGAUGACUCAUAGUAACUGAUCGAAUCGCAUGGUCCUUGACCGCGAUAAAUCAUUCAAGUUUCUGCCCCAUCAGCUUUCGAUGGUAGUGUAUUGGACUACCAUGGCUUUAACGGGUGACGGAGGAUUAGGGUUCGAUUCCGGAGAGGGAGCCUGAGAAACGGCUACCACAUCUAAGGAAGGCAGCAGGCGCGUAAAUUACCCAAUCCUGACUCAGGGAGGUAGUGACAAGAAAUAACAAACCGAAGCUUUUGCUUCGGGAUUGCAAUGAGUAGAAUUUAAACCCCUUUACGAGGAUCAAUUGGAGGGCAAGUCUGGU